rnacentral:rRNA from 1 species
CUACGGGGGAUGCAAGCGUUAUCCGGAAUCAUUGGGCGUAAAGCGCCUGUAGGUUGUUUAAUAAGUCUGUUGUUAAAGCCUAGGGCUUAACCCUAGAAAAGCAAUGGAAACUACUAGACUAGAGUAUGGCAGGGGUAGAGGGAAUUUCUAGUGUAGCGGUGAAAUGCGUAGAUAUUAGAAAGAACACCGGUGGCGAAAGCGCUCUACUGGACCAUUACUGACACUCAGAGGCGAAAGCUAGGGUAGCAAAAGGGAUUAGAAACCCCAGUAGUCC